CUUUGACCCUCAGAGCACAGCACACACAGGACAGGCACCGGGAUUAGAGCAGACACAUCGCAGCUCUCGCUCCCUCUACCAUGGGCUUUCAGCUCCUCGUGAUUGCAUUCCUUCUGGGACUCAUCAUGGGACUUCUACUUAUAACACUAUGCAAAGAGAAGAUAGCCAUGAAAAUAAGCAAGGGAUCUUUUUCCUUCUCUUUUGAAGUUGGGGGGAAACAAAGGGUCAGCCCCACAGGCUGCAGCCAAUGCCUUGGUGACCACAAGAAGAAAGCCUGAUUACUAUGGCCAGUGAACAGAAGGCGAUUUCCUUCCUUCCGAACAGCCUGCUUCAUUUCUUCCCACAGCAUGGACUAGAAUGCCCCCACU